rnacentral:lncRNA from 1 species
CGCACACCCACGCACGUAGUCGCAUUCACAUCCCACCUCGCUCCUGACGUGCUCUAAACCAGCAAGCGCUUCGUCCCGACGCCAAAUGAGGGCCGGAAGUGGAAUCCCGUCAUAUUUUCCAUGGAAAACUGCCUUUCACCAAUCAUUUCUUCUGGAAAAUCAUGGAAUGUGGGAAUGGAGAAGAAGGGAAAGGCCCUCCAGCCCGUCAGCUCUGGUUACCCAUCAGGAAAGGGAGACCAGACGGCAUGGCUGACCCCAGCUAAAUGAGGAUGUGAAAGCCUGAAGCCGUGGCAGCCACGUGGUGAUUGUGGAGGAGCCAGCCUUUAAAACAAAAUGACACUGAAAAGCAGAGAGGUGACAUGCAAAGAGCUGGUCUUUGGUGCACCUUUGAGCGAAUGUAUCAAGCCAUUGCAAAGCUUGCCCUACUCUAGACUUUUCGGUAAUAAAAGCUGUACUUUCUUUAAUCAUUUGAGUUCGGGUUUCUUCCCCUAAGAU